rnacentral:rRNA from 1 species
CAGGUUUACCUGUGUGACUGCGUACCUUUUGUAUAAUGGGUCAGCGACUUAUAUUCUGUAGCAAGGUUAACCGUAUAGGGGAGCCGAAGGGAAACCGAGUCUUAACCGGGCGUUAAGUUGCAGGGUAUAGACCCGAAACCCGGUGAUCUAGCCAUGGGCAGGUUGAAGGUUGGGUAACACUAACUGGAGGACCGAACCGACUAAUGUUGAAAAAUUAGCGGAUGACCUGUGGCUGGGGGUGAAAGGCCAAUCAAACCGGGAGAUAGCUGGUUCUCCCCGAAAGCUAUUUAGGUAGCGCCUCGUGAACUCAUCUCCGGGGGUAGAGCACUGUUUCGGCUAGGGGGCCAUCCCGGCUUACCAACCCGAUGCAAACUGCGAAUACCGGAGAAUGUUAUCACGGGAGACACACGGCGGGUGCUAACGUCCGUCGUGAAGAGGGAAACAACCCAGACCGCCAGCUAAGGUCCCAAAGUCAUGGUUAAGUGGGAAACGAUGUGGGAAGGCCCAGACAGCCAGGAUGUUGGCUUAGAAGCAGCCAUCAUUUAAAGAAAGCGUAAUAGCUCACUGGUCGAGUCGGCCUGCGCGGAAGAUGUAACGGGGCUAAACCAUGCACCGAAGCUGCGGCAGCGACAUUUAGGUGUUGUUGGGUAGGGGAGCGUUCUGUAAGCCUGUGAAGGUGGCCUGUGAGGGUUGCUGGAGGUAUCAGAAGUGCGAAUGCUGACAUAAGUAACGAUAAAGCGGGUGAAAAGCCCGCUCGCCGGAAGACCAAGGGUUCCUGUCCAACGUUAAUCGGGGCAGGGUGAGUCGACCCCUAAGGCGAGGCCGAAAGGCGUAGUCGAUGGGAAACGGGUUAAUAUUCCCGUACUUGGUGUUACUGCGAAGGGGGGACGGAGAAGGCUAUGUUGGCCGGGCGACGGUUGUCCCGGUUUAAGCGUGUAGGUGUGUGUUCCAGGUAAAUCCGGUUCACUUUAACACUGAGGCGUGA